UACGGAGGGUGCAAGCGUUGUUCGGAAUUAUUGGGCGUAAAGGGCGCGUAGGCGGUCCAAUAAGUCGGAUGUGAAAGCCCUGGGCUCAACCCAGGAAGGGCAUCCGAAACUGCUGGACUUGAGUACGGGAGAGGGAAGUGGAAUUCCUGGUGUAGGGGUGAAAUCCGUAGAUAUCAGGAGGAACACCGGUGGCGAAGGCGACUUCCUGGACCGAUACUGACGCUGAGGCGCGAAAGCGUGGGGAGCAAAC
rnacentral:rRNA from 1 species